rnacentral:rRNA from 1 species
GCCUAUGGUCAGACCGGACUGAAUGUCCUCGAUCCUGUCUGAUCUCAGAAGCUAAGCAGUCCCAGGCCUGGCUGGUACCUGGGCA